rnacentral:rRNA from 1 species
AUUGAACGCUGGCGGCAGGCUUAACACAUGCAAGUCGAGCAGAGAGAGGUAGCUUGCUACUGAUCUUAGCGGCGGACGGGUGAGUAAUGCUUAGGAAUCUGCCUAUUAGUGGGGGACAACAUUUCGAAAGGAAUGCUAAUACCGCAUACGUCCUACGGGAGAAAGCAGGGGAUCUUCGGACCUUGCGCUAAUAGAUGAGCCUAAGUCGGAUUAGCUAAUUGGUGGGGUAAAGGCCUACCAAGGCGACGAUCUGUAGCGGGUCUGAGAGGAUGAUCCGCCACACUGGGACUGAGACACGGCCCAGACUCCUACGGGAGGCAGCAGUGGGGAAUAUUGGACAAUGGGCGGAAGCCUGAUCCAGCCAUGCCGCGUGUGUGAAGAAGGCCUUAUGGUUGUAAAGCACUUUAAGCGAGGAGGAGGCUACUUUAGUUAAUACCUAGAGAUAGUGGACGUUACUCGCAGAAUAAGCACCGGCUAACUCUGUGCCAGCAGCCGCCGUAAAAC